rnacentral:lncRNA from 1 species
AGUGUUCAAUGCUCCCUUGUUAUGGUGCAAUAUUGCGAUCGGGCUUUCCGGGACAAUCUACACAGCACUGGGAGGCCUUCGCGGAGUGGUGUGGACAGACUGCAUGCAGUUCAUCAUUAUCAUGGUCGCUCCGACCGCGGUGAUUGCAAAGAUUGUGGUGGACUCCUUUUCUGCAAACUCAACAGUUCGGCCACUGAGUGAUAUGGACGUCGGUAUGUACAUCGGAAAUUUCAGGUUUGAUUUGACGAGUGACGAAAAUGUGUGGUCCUGUUUACUGGGUGCCUCAGCGUUGGGAAUAUACCGACUGUGUCUUGACCAAAUGGUUGUCCAGCGUAUAAUGGCAUCUCCAUCCCUGAAGAAUGCUCGAAGAACCGUGGUCUCUGGUGCCUUUUACUUCUUC